UUGCAGAAGAUGUGAUAAAACUUCCAGACGGAACAGAAUAUCGUUCCAAAGGAAUUCGACCAACCCUUCAACCAAAUGCUAUUCCAAAACAUUUUCCAAGUGUAACAGCCAAAAAAACACUUCUUCCAUCGCCUACUAAAACAGUACCCUAAAAUAAAGACUUUGGAAAAGAAUCAGACUUUGCAAAAAUUUACAAAAACGCUAGAGCAAUUCCUUUGCCAUCAACAUUUUGGCUUUUGGCAAAGUGUCCAGAUUCCAUUGCAAUUAAUAAAUGGGACAACACCCUAAACCGUUCUCCUUUAAGGCUUGUCAUAAAUAGAAUUAAAAAAGUCAAUAGCUCAAAAUUGCACUGGAGUUGUUUUGGCAAAAGCAAAAGGAACGAGAGGAGUACAGUCUAAGUAUUGCUCGGAAUGCAAAAAAUUGUGGAAACUGAUGCGUGGAAGAAAAAAUGAAAAACAAAAGAAGAAAAAGUUGAAAGUUAAAAAUGAGGAAUUGCAAAAAAAGGCGAAGAAAAACGUGCGAGCUAAUAAAAAUUCGGAGAAAUAGCAUAAAAAAAUGAUAGACGUAUUAAAAGGACUACAAGAAAAGUGUGCACAGACCAAACAGGAAGUUAUUUCUGAAGCAAUUAAGCAUUUAUCAAAAGUAGAGCAGUUGGCUGUGGAGGCUUGUUUUCAGGCAUCUAAAGUAAAACAACCUAGAGGCGUGAGAUAUAAUCGUCAAUGGGUAUAUGAGUGUAUCUUAUUAAGAAUAAAAAGUCCGGGUGGUUACAAACACUUAAGAAACCAUAAGAUUCUCGCCUU